rnacentral:lncRNA from 1 species
UGCUCUAUUGAAGAAGGUUUCGAAGGAUGCAGUAACUGUAGCAUGCUUGGGAGGGAUUUGGUACGUUUCGCUAGUUCGGAGUGGUGCAGUGAUUGUGAUGGAUUGGCUAAAUCCCUAGCUAUGGCGGGCUUGGGUUCCUCAGUAGAUGGGUUAUGGAAUGGUAGCAAAGAUCGGGAUCUCUUUGAGUAUUGAGCAGCAAGGGGUAAGCAGGAUCGAAGUGGGGGAGAAUCCUCCGGGUGUGCCCAGAGAGGAGCACGCAGACCCAGAACGAGUACGUGACCUCCGAGAGGGAAGAGAAGUAGUUCAACGUUUGAUGGAUUGAGGAUUCCAGGGUUGGGAGUUUGAGAAACUCCAUAUCAGCUAGCGCGUGGGAUGGUAUGGUUGGUUAUGAUUGAGAAUUCAGAUUGUGGAUCGCCUGAAGGACUCGCGGGAGUCGGAAUAAGGAUCUUGAGAAGUCGAUGGCACGUGGGUGCCUUCGUAUUAGCAGUCAGUGGUAGGGAUGUAAGACUACGGGUAAGCCGUAGCAUUCCUUAGUAGUUUCGUUAGCAGGAGUCGGGGCGAGGCCCUUAUCUCCUAGUGAUCAGGUAGGGAUCAGGAAUGGGUAGUGGAUGAGAGUAGUAGGGAGUUGCCUGUAUAGCUCUAGAGAGGUGAGACCUUGGGAGAGGCCGCUCCAGGAUAUAGUUGGGUGAGACCCGUGGGCGAGGCCCGUAUGAGAUUAGCAGUGCAGGUGAGACCUGGGAGCAGGGUUGCUCAGUAGUAUGGUUGGGUGAGACCCGAGGGCGAGACCCGUGAGUUUUUAGCAGCGCAGGUGGGACCUGGUGAGGACCUUAGUGUCAAGAUAGGGGAUCGGGGAUCCCGAGUUUGUAUCAUUUGCAUACCUUGGAUAUUUGUAUGGUAGUUAGGGGGGUUGUGCUCUAUUAAAGAAGGUUUCGAAGGAUGCAGUAACUGUAGCAUGCUUGGGAGGGAUUUGGUUCGUUUCGUUAGUUCGGAGUGGUGCAGUGAUUGUGAUGGAUUGGCUAAAGCCCUAGCUAUGGCAGGGCUUGGGUUCCUCAGUGGAUGGGUUAUGGAAUGGUAGCGAAGAGCAGGAUCUCUUUGAGUUUUGAGCAACAAGGGGUAAGCAGGAUCGAAGUGGGGGAGAAUUCUCCGGGUGUGCCCAGGGAGGAGCACACAGACUCAGAAUGAGUGCGUGACCUCCGAGAGGGAAGAGAGAGGUAGUUCAGCGUUUGUGGGAUUGAGGAUUUCAGGGUCGGGAGUUUCAGAAACUCCAUAUCAGCUAGCGCGUGGGAUGGUAUGGUUGGUUAUGAUUGAGAAUUCAGAUUGUGGAUCGCCUGAAGGACUCACGGAAGUCGGAAUAAGGAUCUUGAGAAGUCAAUGGCACGUGGGUGCCUUUGUAUUAGCAGUCAGUGGUAGGGAGUGUUGUAAGACUACGGGGCAGCCGUAGCAUUCACUAGCAGUCGGCAAUGAAUGGUGAUGUAAGACUACGGGUAAGCCGUAGCAUUCCUUAGUAGUUUCGUUAGCGGAGUCGGGGCGAGGCCCUUAUCUCCUAGUGAUCAGGUAGGGAUCAGGAUCGGGUAGUGGAUGAGAAUGUUAGGGAGUUGCCUGUAUAGCUCUAGAGAGGUGAGACCUUGGGAGAGGCCGCUCCAGGAUAUAGUUGGGUGAGACCCGUGGGCGAGGCCCGUAUGAGAUUAGCGGUGCAGGUGAGACCUGGGAGCAGGGUUGCUCAGUAGUAUGGUUGGGUGAGACCCGAGGGCGAGACCCGUGAGUUUUUAGCAGCGCAGGUGGGACCUGGUGAGGACCUUAGUGUCAAGAUAGGGGAUCGGGGAUCCCGAGUUUGUAGUGCCUGGAUAGCAGGACUGAUUGAGCAGUUAUAGAUGGUCGAGGUAUUCUCGGUAGUCGCUGAGAGCGACCAGGGAUGGUAUUGGGUUUAGCUACCGGUGGGAGCCGGUAAUCCAGU